rnacentral:rRNA from 1 species
UACAGAGGGGGCAAGCGUUGUUCGGAAUUACUGGGCGUAAAGGGCUCGUAGGUGGCCAACUAAGUCAGACGUGAAAUCCCUCAGCUUAACUGGGGAACUGCGUCUGAUACUGGAUGGCUUGAGUUUGGGAGAGGGAUGCGGAAUUCCAGGUGUAGCGGUGAAAUGCGUAGAUAUCUGGAGGAACACCGGUGGCGAAGGCGGCAUCCUGGGCCAUUACUGACGCUGAGGAGCGAAAGCGUGGGGAGCGAACAGG